rnacentral:rRNA from 1 species
GACGAACGCUGGCGGCGUGCUUAACACAUGCAAGUCGAACGGUGAAGCUCCAGCUUGCUGGAGUGGAUCAGUGGCGAACGGGUGAGUAACACGUGAGCAACCUGCCCCUGACUCUGGAAUAAGCGCUGGAAACGGCGUCUAAUACUGGAUACGAGAAGGGCCCGCAUGGGCACUUUCUGGAAAGUUUUUCGGUUGGGGAUGGGCUCGCGGCCUAUCAGCUUGCUGGUGAGGUAAUGGCUCACCAAGGCGACGACGGGUAGCCGGCCUGAGAGGGCGACCGGCCACACUGGGACUGAGAGACGGCCCAGACUCCUACGGGAGGCAGCAGUGGGGAAUAUUGCACAAUGGGCGAAAGCCUGAUGCAGCGACGCCGCGUGAGGGAUGACGGCCUUCGGGUUGUAAACCUCUUUCAGCAGGGAAGAAGCGAAAGUGACGGUACCUGCAGAAGAAGCACCGGCUAACUACGUG